rnacentral:rRNA from 1 species
GACUCCUACGGGAGGCAGCAGUAGGGGAAUCUUUCCGCAAUGGACGAAAGUCCUGAUCGCCAGCACACGCCGCGUGCAGGAAUGAAGGUCCUUCGGAUCUGUAAAACUGCUGUUGUCCGGAACGAACAGACUGCCUUAUAAUCUAGAGGGGCGUGCCUUGACCGGUCCCGUACCAGUUGAGCCUGUGCUUGUUACCUG